rnacentral:ncRNA from 2 species
GUACAAAUUCAGGGGUGCCAAAGUGAAACGGCUGAGAACAUACCCUUUAACCUGAUCCGGGUAAUACCGGCGUAGGGAGAAGAACUUUUCUCUUU